rnacentral:lncRNA from 1 species
CCAUAUAGAAAAUGAAUGAAUUAAACAAUAUGGACAUGCAAGUGUAUAUGCAGAAAUACGUAUAAGAUUUACUAAGAAUAAAGAAUUUAAUUGAUUAAUCGAGUAUAAAAAAUGACGACAACAUCAGUAAAAAUAUAAGAAAACAUUAAAGCACAAAAGGGUAGCAAGGAUCAAGCAACACUAUAGUUCUUCAACGUUUUUUGCCUUUACCGCCACUUAUAUUUUCCCAAACAGAGAUCCAAUCAUCCUCAGAAUGUAAUCCUUUAACUUGAUUGCAACCUUGCUCGCAAGCGAGUGAACACUUAUCUUGAGUUGUACUUCCUGCUUUCAAGCAUGCAAGCACGCAUUUUCCAAUGCACUUUGCGCUUGCUGCCGAACAAAAUUCGACGGUGUAAGCCAUUACAACCAUCCCAAUUAUUAACAUGCCUACGGAGUUCUUGGUGGCCAUUUGGGUGAUGUUGCUUUAAUUUUUUCUUUUGUUGGAUG